rnacentral:lncRNA from 1 species
GCAGGUUUUUUAUGGCGCUCCGGUCGAUGAAGUCUUGGCACUUGGCGCAUUCAUUCGAAAGUUUAGAGAUGAAGGUGUUAGAAGCCAUUGUUGAGAACUCAAAGAAAUUUCUAGGCUCGAAAGAGUUUUAAAGGUUGAUCUGGGAAUAAAAGGUUUGAGAGUUCUGAUAGCGUAAAGAGAAAAAUGAAGGAUUUUGGGUAUUUAUAAGGGUUUUAGAAAAAGGUCAAUCGUUUGAUUUUGAAAAGAAAGAGUAAGACCAGUCAGACAGUUUUUCAAUCAUCAUGGAGAUUCAGGAAAUCCGUGUGAAAAGACUGAAGAACUCGAGGAUUAAGGCAACAUGGUGACGUGUGGCGAAGGUUUUUAUGAUGGAGUGACGAAUCGAUGACCUAGCAGUUCGUGAUUCAAAGUAGUAUGGGUAUGUGUAACGGCA